GGUUUGUUCUGGCCUUGAUGACACGCUGCCACUAUCGCCGAUUCUCGCUGCUGGGGAGCGCUUCGGUUACCCCACGCGGGAAGGGGCGCCAGGCUGAC